ensembl:Mt_tRNA
UAGGUAAAAACUAGCAGGUUAGAGUAAUUAGCUGUUAACUAAUAAUUUAUGGGAUCGAGGCCCAUUUGCCUAG